ACCCUUUGGUUCAUGAGCGUGGUGACUCGGUGCUCGUGUCUUGCGCAUGAGAUGUGCCUCCUUGAAGCCCUGUCACGACACGCGCACAUUACCCGUCUGACG